GAUGAACGCUGGCGGCGUGCCUAAUACAUGCAAGUCGAACGGAGCUAAACAGCAAUGGAUAGCUUAGUGGCGAACGGGUGAGAAACGCGUUGGUGACCUGCCCUAAAGCGGGGGAUAACAGAUCGAAAGGUUUGCUAAUACCGCGUAAUGUGAUCGAGGUUAGGUGCUUGAUCAAGGAAGCUGAGAAGCGCUUUAGGAGGGACCUGCGUCCCAUCAGCUAGUUGGUGAGGUAGAGGCUCACCAAGGCGAUGACGGGUAGGGGACCUGAGAGGGUGACCCCCCACAAUGGAACUGAAACACGGUCCAUACACCUACGGGUGGCAGCAGUAGGGGAUAUUGGGAAUGGGCGGAAGCCUGACCCAGCAACGCCGCGUGAACGAUGAAGGCCUUCGGGUUGUAAAGUUCUUUUGACUGGGAAGAGAGAGGACGGUACCAGUCGAAUAAGUCUCGGCUAACUACGUG
rnacentral:rRNA from 1 species